rnacentral:rRNA from 1 species
CCUACGGGCGGCAGCAGUAGGGAAUAUUGCUCAAUGGGGGAAACCCUGAAGCAGCAACGCCGCGUGGAGGAUGAAGGUUUUCGGAUCGUAAACUCCUUUUGUUAGAGAAGAUAAUGACGGUAUCUAACGAAUAAGCACCGGCUAACUCCGUGCCAGCAGCCGCGGUAAUACGGAGGGUGCAAGCGUUACUCGGAAUCACUGGGCGUAAAGAGCGCGUAGGCGGGAUAGCAAGUCAGAUGUGAAAUCCUAUGGCUUAACCAUAGAACUGCAUUUGAAACUGUUAUUCUAGAGUAUGGGAGAGGUAGGUGGAAUUCUUGGUGUAGGAGUAAAAUCCGUAGAGAUCAAGAGGAAUACUCAUUGCGAAGGCGACCUGCUAGAACAUAACUGACGCUGAUGCGCGAAAGCGUGGGGAGCAAACAGGAUUAGAUACCCGUGUAGUC